UUUGCCCGUUACAAAUACUAUAUUACACGUAACUUGGCCCAACUUAUAGAGGAGCCCAUUACUUGGCUUUUUAGGGUUUCACCUAAUAGCCGUCAUUUCUCCUCUUCUCCUCUCUCCUCUCUCUCUUUCUCCUCUCCUCUCCUCCCCGUCAUUCUCCUCUCAUCCUCUCUCUCUCCUCCCCGUCCUUCUCUCCUCUCCUCUCAUCUCCUCCAUCAAUCUUAGAGAAAAAAACUACUGCGCUUUCAUUGUCGUUGUCAAUGUCGAAUUUGAAUUGCGAGUUGUCUUCAAUUUCACAGCCUCCAUUUUCGAACUACUGCGCUUUGUCGUUGUCAAUGUCGCUGUUGUUGACUAUUCUUCCGGCGAAGUCCGAUGACUUGCUUUCUGAAUGGGAGAGAGUUUAUCUUUCGAUUGAUCCUGGUGUUUUUCUACUUGAUAUCUCCUUUGUUCAUGAGGACUCUAAUCGCGGUACUCGGUUUCUAUUUUUAUUUUGCUUUUUAUUUUAAUUUGUUUUUGAAUCAUCUGAUUUUUCUACUUUUUAUGGCUUAAUUUUCGUUUCAAUUGAUAUUUUUUUGGCUGAAUUAGUAAAUUUUGUAUAAUCUUAAUUUUCUAAUAUUUGUGGCUUAAUUUUCAUUUGAAUAAUUGUGUUUUUAGCUGAUCUUUCAUCACAUUUUGAGUCUAUUUUGUGUAAUCUAAUUUUCUAAUAUUUGUUAUAAUUAUUGUUUUUUUUGGCUGAAUUUUCAUUUUGAGUAGUUUUUUUGCAUUAACUGAUUUUUCUAAUGUUGUGGUUUAGUUUUCAUUUGAAUAAUUGUUUAUUUUUGGCUGAAAAUUCAUUUGAGUAGAUUUUGUAUAAUAUGGAAUUCAGAAUUGUGUUUUGUCACUCUGUGAUAUAUUUUUUUUAUUUGGUUGAUGUGAUGAACUUUUAAUAGAAUUUGAGUACUUUGAACAAUUCAACAAAUGCGCUAUUAUUGUGAUUGUGAAAAAUGAAUUGGAGGUGUGAUAUAAAAAUAAUUAUGAGAAUUAGAGAGUACUUAUUUCUGGAUGAAUGAAUGGUGGUGUUCUUAUGCUAGAAGGAGUGGGAAGAAGGGAGAGGAAAUGUCAUUAGUCGUUUCAAGCAACUAGUAUAUAUACAGAGCUAUGAAAUCAGGAAGUGUUUGGUUGCAUAUUUUUUGGGUGACAAUAGUCAAUGCCUUUUGUCUCUAAGGUAAUGAGUGCUUGCUUUUGUUACUUACCCUUAUUCGAUGAAUUGGUGAAAAAUAAUAGUAAUCAUUUUCACUGAUCGAUUUGUUCUGGCUUUACAGGUCAUAUGGCCAGAGCAAUGCCCCUCCUACUGUGUGAGGUUGAUAUUGUAUGAAUUACGUGAUUUUGGGAAUAAAACAAACUGUUGAGAUGCCUUCAUUAAUGAAGGCUAAUAGAGUAAUAGCUAGUUCCUGAUUCGGUGUGCUUGAAGGUCAAAGGAAGGAUUUAAUUCGCAGUCAAGUUUUGAUGCUAAGUAGCCUUUAGGAAGAACAUUGGUAUGAUAGUACUUCAGUCAAGGCUUUGAAGACAGGCAGAAUUAAGUACCUUAAUAAUAUAAAUACAUAAGAAUUACUGCAAUAGUUACUAAUUAGAGGGUCUUGUCUCAUGAAUAUGGACUAUGGAUUCCAUUUCCUACAUAUUAUGUUGUAGGUUCUACAAUGUUGUGUUAGUUUUUAAUUUUAAGUUCAAGUCCUAUUUAAAAAAGUUGCCUGGCUCGUGUUAUGGGAUAAGAUGGUGUGGGUUCCAGUGAAAGAUAAAUAUUAUAUGCCUUAAAGCUGUCAAUUUAUAUCACUAAGUAUGAGGUAGAGAGAGUCAAUUGUGGAGCACUGCCUGGUGUAAGAUAGAGAAUUGAUCUGUUGGAUACUUUAUUGAUUUAUUCACCCUUUGCUUCUUUAACUUAUGCUAAUUCGUUCUGUAAAAAAAUGGUUUUAACACUAUCUAAUAAUGAUUUAUGAGGGGCUCAUGUUUUCAAUGAUUAAACAUGUGUGCUUUGCAGGAGAAAAUUCCUAUAGAGGAGGUGUUUGAGAGUUUGAGAUGCUUAAGAGAAGGUCUGACUUCAGACGAUGCAACCAAUCGUCUUCAAUUUUUUGGACAUAACAAGCUAGAAGAAAAAAAGAUCUGAUACCGUUGAACUGGAAUUAACACGAGAGCAAACUCUUGAAGUUUCUUGGCUUCAUGUGGAAUCUCUUCCUGGAGAAUCUCUUCCUUUCACUAGGAAUCAUGGAGACGAGGUCUUCUCUAGUUCAACCUGUAAACAAGAUGAUGGGACUUAUGCUAUGAAGAAAGUAUUGAUUCAAAAUAAUAAGCAGCUGGACUUGUUGAGGGAGGAGAUCCGAGUUUCCUCCCUGUUUACAUAUCCCAAUCUACUUCCCCUUCUUGAUCAUGCUAUCAUCAAAGUCAAGGCCACUCAAGAGAAAUCUUGGAAACAUGAAACGUACCUGUUAUUCCCAGUUCAUUUGGAUGGAACUUUGCUGGACAACUCAACCGCUAUGAAAGCUAAUAAGGCCCUUCUCGUGGAUUUAAGUUUGGCUGAAGGUAGCUUAACUGUGCAAUUUCAAAUAAGUAAAACAUAACGCCUUUAGAGGAAACAAGUGUAAUUUUUUUUUUUCAAAUCAGUAAAACAAGUGUACUUUAGACUUGGUUUAAUUUAGUUGUUCUUUUAAAGUUUUAGUUAUUAGUUUAUUAAUAUUAAUUGCAUUUUUUUUAAGGAAAUAUAAAUUGUAUACUAUAUUUGUAUAAAAAUAUCUACAUAUAUCAUUUAAUGAUAAAAUGGUGUGGAAAAUCCAGCAUUUUGCUGGAUUUUUUUUUUAAAAUUUGAUUAAGUAUUCGUAACGGGCAAACCAUGUCCUGUUACGGAUAACGGGGUUAUUCGUAACGGGCACUUGAAAAGCCCGUUACGAAUAACCCGUUAUUCGUAACGAGCACCUGAAAAGCCCGUUACGAAUAAUAGGUUAACGGGCUUUUCAGGUGCCCGUUACAAAUAACAAAGGUCAUCCGUAACGGCCGCAUACGUAACAGACGCUGCCCGUUACGGAUGGGCAUUUUUUGCCCGUUACAGAUGACCUUUUUCCACUAGUGUUUAUCUUUUUUAGAUCUGGUUCUACGAGUAUUUUCCUUCAGUCGCGCCGGCGAGACCGUUGCCACGCGGGUUUCCAGUGAGCGCCGGCUGGGGAGGCCGCCACGUUCGAAUGUCUACCGCCUAUGUUCAAGAGCAGAUCCUCUCGGAUCCUGAUGUGCAGUACCGGUCGUAGAACGACUUGGUUAUCCCUGGGUUAGCUGCGCAGCACACUGCUGAGCGUCGCUACUUCUUAGGGAUGUAUGGAGCGGUUGCAUACCUUGGAGAGAGGAUUGCUAUUCAACACUCUUUAGAUGCUUUCGUCGUUCCUGCUCCUCCGCCGCGUCACAUGUUCAAUGACGUUAGGCUGCUUUGUAUGUAAGAGAGGGCUGACACCCCUUGGUGAUCUCAUGCGGUCCUAGGGCAGUGCUAUGAGGAGGAGAUGCUUCCGCUGUUAGCUCCGGCCCUUGUUCUGUUUGAGGAGGCGGCGAUAUGAUUUUCAUCUUUUACCUUUUGCUAAGUAGCCCCCAAGUGAUGUUUUAAUGUCUUUGGCUUGCUUUUGUCAGGCUGGGCCUACUAAGUUCGUGCCCCCUCGUAUGUCUAUCCAAUACCAGGGGACAUACGGGCCUAUCGAGGAGAUGAUUCCUUCGGCUCCUGAGGAUCAUCACUUCGUAGAGCAGUCGAUUCCUCGCCACUAGACUCGGUUCUCGCGCGAGGUGGUCACGACAAUGGCACGGUGUAUAGACGCCUUCCGGAGCCAGCUCGUCCGGAUAAGGAAUGUGGCUACGUGUCGUCGCGACGACGCUGUUCAGGAGGGUCAACCCAUUUCUUCUCGUACCCGGACGAGACCUGAGGUUCGGAGAGAGUCGGCGAGGUCUAGCUCGAGGCGUCGCUGUACUGGUUCUGGCGAUCGGGGUGGCGAUCUGAGGCUGCUCGGACCGAGGCGGUGGAGGGCUUGGGCUCUUCAUUCUAAGGGUGCACGUGCUCAGUCGGUAGGCCAGGGAGAGGCUACCUCAGCUCCUAGAGGUGGUGGGAUGUUCGAGGUCGACUCGUCAUCGCAGCAGCCUCAGCCUCUGUCGGUUCAUCAGGACGACCUUGGGUGGACGGGUCUUGUGCUGAGUUUUCCUCCUCCAUGGGAGACUAGAGCUGGAGCUGGUGGAGAGUAUACUCCUCGUACUGCGCAGUUCUAUGAUAUGAUGGGCGUCUAUCAUCAUCUGCGUCCUCUAGUGCCGUAGUUUAUACCUGUGUUUUGUUUUAUUUUGACUUGUAUAGAACUUUGCCUAACUGACUCAUUUAUUAGACAUAUUUGU